AGUGAACGAGGGAGGGAGGAGGAACACAUGCAAGUCGAACGGCAGCACAGUAAGAGCUUGCUCUUACGGGUGGCGAGUGGCGGACGGGUGAGGAAUACAUCGGAAUCUACUUUUUCGUGGGGGAUAACGUAGGGAAACUUACGCUAAUACCGCAUACGACCUACGGGUGAAAGCAGGGGAUCUUCGGACCUUGCGCGAUUGAAUGAGCCGAUGUCGGAUUAGCUAGUUGGCGGGGUAAAGGCCCACCAAGGCGACGAUCCGUAGCUGGUCUGAGAGGAUGAUCAGCCACACUGGAACUGAGACACGGUCCAGACUCCUACGGGAGGCAGCAGUGGGGAAUAUUGGACAAUGGGCGCAAGCCUGAUCCAGCCAGACCGCGUGGGUGAAGACGGCCUUCGGGUUGUAAAGCCCUUUUGUUGGGAAAGAAAAGCAGCAGGUUAAUACCCCGCUGUUCUGACGGUACCCAAAGAAUAAGCACCGGCUAACUUCGUG
rnacentral:rRNA from 1 species